rnacentral:rRNA from 1 species
GAUGAACGCUGGCGGCGUACCUAAUACAUGCAAGUCGAGCGAACGGACGAGAAGCUUGCUUCUCUGAUGUUAGCGGCGGACGGGUGAGUAACACGUGGAUAACCUACCUAUAAGACUGGGAUAACUUCGGGAAACCGGAGCUAAUACCGGAUAAUAUUUUGAACCGCAUGGUUCAAAAGUGAAAGACGGUCUUGCUGUCACUUAUAGAUGGAUCCGCGCUGCAUUAGCUAGUUGGUAAGGUAACGGCUUACCAAGGCAACGAUGCAUAGCCGACCUGAGAGGGUGAUCGGCCACACUGGAACUGAGACACGGUCCAGACUCCUACGGGAGGCAGCAGUAGGGAAUCUUCCGCAAUGCGCGAAAGCCUGACGGAGCAACGCCGCGUGAGUGAUGAAGGUCUUCGGAUCGUAAAACUCUGUUAUUAGGGAAGAACAUAUGUGUAAGUAACUGUGCACAUCUUGACGGUACCUAAUCAGAAAGCCACGGCUAACUACGUG